GAUGAACGCUGGCGGCGUGCCUAAUACAUGCAAGUCGAGCGAACGGACGAGAAGCUUGCUUCUCUGAUGUUAGCGGCGGACGGGUGAGUAACACGUGGAUAACCUACCUAUAAGACUGGGAUAACUUCGGGAAACCGGAGCUAAUACCGGAUGAUAUUUUGAACCGCAUGGUUCAAAAGUGAAAGACGGUCUUGCUGUCACUUAUAGAUGGAUCCGCGCUGCAUUAGCUAGUUGGUAAGGUAACGGCUUACCAAGGCAACGAUGCAUAGCCGACCUGAGAGGGUGAUCGGCCACACUGGAGCUGAGACACGGUCCAUACUCCUACGGGAGGCAGCAGUAGGGAAUCUUCCGCAAUGGGCGAAAGCCUGACGGAGCAACGCCGCGUGAGUGAUGAAGGUCUUCGGAUCGUAAAACUCUGUUAUUAGGGAAGAACAUAUGUGUAAGUAACUGUGCACAUCUUGACGGUACCUAAUCAGAAAGCCACGGCUAACUACGUG
rnacentral:rRNA from 1 species